rnacentral:rRNA from 1 species
UACGUAGGUGACCAGCGUUGUCCGGAUUUACUGGGCGUAAAGAGCGCGCAGGCGGUCGUUCAAGUCGAGUGUGAAAGCCCCCGGCUCAACUGGGGAGGGUCAUUCGAUACUGAUCGACUUGAAGGCAGGAGAGGGAAGCGGAAUUCCCGGUGUAGUGGUGAAAUGCGUAGAUAUCGGGAGGAACACCAGUGGCGAAGGCGGCUUCCUGGCCUGUUCCUGACGCUGAGGCGCGAAAGCUAGGGGAGCAAACGGG